rnacentral:rRNA from 1 species
ACUGGAAGCCAGACUGUACCGGUAACGUACGGUCGGCGCGUAACCCGACCAAGGGGAGGUAGCCGCCUAUGGUAUGACUGGUGACUGGGGUG